CGGCGGACGGGUGAGUAACACGUGGGUAACCUACCUAUAAGACUGGGACAACUUCGGGAAACCGGAGCUAAUACCGGAUAAGAUAUCGAACCGCAUGGUUCGAUAGUGAAAGAUGGUUUUGCUAUCACUUAUAGAUGGACCCGCGCCGUAUUAGCUAGUUGGUGAGGUAACGGCUCACCAAGGCAACGAUACGUAGCCGACCUGAGAGGGUGAUCGGCCACACUGGAACUGAGACACGGUCCAGACUCCUACGGGAGCAGCAGUG
rnacentral:rRNA from 1 species